GGGGAAUAUUGCGCAAUGGGCGAAAGCCUGACGCAGCCAAUCCGCGUGGGUGAUGAAGGCCUUCGGGUUGUAAAGCCCUGUCGUGUGGGAAGAAUAAUGACGGUACCACACAAGAAAGCACCGGCUAACCCCGUGCCAGCAGCCGCGGUAAUACGGGGGGUGCAAGCGUUGCUCGGAAUCACUGGGCGUAAAGCGUCCGCAGGCUGAUCUGCAGGUCGGGUGUGAAAUCCCGGGGCUCAACCCCGGAACUGCAUCCGAAACCGCAUGUCUCGAGUACGGGAGAGGGAAGCGGAAUUCCUGGUGUAGAGGUGAAAUUCGUAGAUAUCAGGAGGAACACCGGUGGCGAAAGCGGCUUCCUGGCCCGAUACUGACGCUCAUGGACGAAAGCGUGGGGAGCAAAC
rnacentral:rRNA from 1 species